rnacentral:rRNA from 1 species
UGGGGAAUUUUGGACAAUGGGGGAAACCCUGAUCCAGCCAUCCUGCGUGUGCGAUGAAGGCCUUCGGGUUGUAAAGCACUUUUGGCAGGAAAGAAACGUCGCGGGUUAAUACCCCGCGAAACUGACGGUACCUGCAGAAUAAGCACCGGCUAACUACGUGCCAGCAGCCGCGGUAAUACGUAGGGUGCAAGCGUUAAUCGGAAUUACUGGGCGUAAAGCGUGCGCAGGCGGUUCGGAAAGAAAGAUGUGAAAUCCCAGAGCUUAACUUUGGAACUGCAUUUUUAACUACCGGGCUAGAGUGUGUCAGAGGGAGGUGGAAUUCCGCGUGUAGCAGUGAAAUGCGUAGAUAUGCGGAGGAACACCGAUGGCGAAGGCAGCCUCCUGGGAUAACACUGACGCUCAUGCACGAAAGCGUGGGGAGCAAACAGGAUUAGAUACCCUGGUAGUCCACGCCCUAAACGAUGUCAACUAGCUGUUGGGGCCUUCGGGCCUUGGUAGCGCAGCUAACGCGUGAAGUUGACCGCCUGGGGAGUACGGUCGCAAGAUUAAAACUCAAAUGAAUUGACGGGGUCAUAGCU